CUCCUGUCCUAUUGGCUGCAUGACUUCCAACUUCUUCAACAAAUAAGAAAGGGAUCCUGGAACCAAAAGUCUCCUUCUCCAGAUAAUACUGAAUCAUCCACAGAGCACAGUGCAUCUUGUACACUGAAUGAAGUAAGGAUCCUGCUAGUCCCAGCCCUCCAUGGCAGCGUUUUCCGUCAACUGCAGUUUCAGUCAAAACCAGCGUAAAGAACCCUGUAACUGCUAAGGGAAAGCCUAGGAUGACUUAGUUACAAAUGCACAAAUGGCUUUUAGAAAUAUGAGUUUGAGGACUUGAUCCUUGUUUCUAGUUGUGGAAAUAGCCUUGUGUCUGAAUAGCACUACUGAUGGCAGACAAAUACAAAGCACAGACUAUGAAGAUUCCUUUUCUCUCUUCAGCCCAGUCAAGAAUUGUUGCUAGAGAUGUGUGGAGAAAGGAAAGCCUUGGAAUCUGCAACUCUGGAGCAGUCUGCCUGGAUGUCUGCCAUGGAACCAUGGACCCUGGAAGCCCUGAUGUACCUCGCCUGGGGACAGUCUAUCUGGUGCCCCAGAGCUUUCAGGCUCUCAAGUCCCUAUAUGUUUGCCAGAUGAUCUGUGGAGGAGUUGAAGAUCCAUGGAGCUGGUAAACGGGCUUCCAGGGAUUCCAGACUCAUGACUUCCCAUCAGCCUGUUAGGUGGGCUGCUGAGAAGCCAGGAGGGUGAAGUGACAGGAAACUAGAUAGAUUGGAACCCUGCUUAGUUUCUGUCAGACCUUUGUCAAAACCAAAAAGUGUCCACUGAACAUUUGGAUUCUCUCAACGAAUUUCUGACAAGCUUUAACUGUCACUGCUUAAAAGUUCAUAUCAAUCCUUCAUCUGAAACAUUCUUAUUUCUUCUAUAAGGAGCUCUGUACCACAUUUUUAUUACAGUGGUAGUUCAGACCAAAAAAAGCUCUGUCCAAGAUUCUUUCAUACAGAUGGGAGAGACUAUUAGUGGUUUAAAGGGCAAUGACCAGUGAAAUUGUCAACUCCACACCCAACUUUUUCUGCUUUUCAAGGCACACAGAAUUGAAGUCUCAUUAUUGACAUUGUACACUGGGCUACCACUAGUUUUGGGUGCUUUCAUUUUAUUUAUACUGUAACUCUUAAAGAGUUGAAAGUUUUGAUUAUAGAUACAAGAGCAUGGGAAAUUUUGAGAAAGAGAAAGUGAUUCCAUGAGUAAGAAAUGUUUGUGAGGAAAUCUCAUUGCUGUUUUUUUAAGGACCUGGGGCCAAGAACCUUGAAGAGAGGGUGGGGCUAGGGUCCCAUGUCAUCCAACCAACUGGGAAUGAUUUGAAAGUAGGGGACUAGCAUAAAUGCUGCUUCCUCCCUCAUUGCAGGGCAGCUGCCUGUUAACAAUGAAAAGAAUAAGAAGGCUCCUGCAUUAGCAGGGAGCAAUACUGGCAGGAGAAGACUGCAAAACCUUCUGAGCCUGAGGACUAAGUGUGGUCAGCAGAGGGAAAUUGUAGCCUAACUCCAGGAGAAGAGAUGGGGCUUUUGCCAUAAUGAAAGAUAUAAAGACUGAGAGCUAACCGUGAGGGGACUGGGAACAAAGCUUAGAUAGAAGGCUACAGCAGAACCUGAAUCACCUUUUGUUUAUGUGGCACUAUUUGCUAUGGACUCUUUUAUGUGAAGUUCUGUGAUAAACAAGCCCCCAGGAGGUUAUUAUAUAGUCAAGAGUGCCUGAAGUGGAGUUACUGGUGUCUAACUCAGCAGAGGGUACUACAGCGCAGGCAUACCCGAUGACAAGCACCUCUAGAAACCAAUUAUCUACUUGAAAAUGUAAUAACUAGUGGCAUAAUUCACACAGCAAGAGACCCAAAGUGAUGAGCAUAGCAAGGCGGGCAAUGAAAAAGAGGGUGUGAGAAUUUGCAAGUGAAAAUAGGCCAGUCCUACUUUAACAUACUCAUUCCUUCCCCUUUGUCUGGCUUCCUCCAAUGUGUGAAUGUAAGUAGUCUUAAGCAAGGUGACAGGUGUGGUAGUAAGACCUGAACAAAAUAUAAUAUGUGCCUUCAGAGUAACUGAUAGGACAGAUAACCCAUGACCAGUCCCUAUCAGUCUGAAUGGAUAGCACCUGUGUAGUUUGUCAAGCCUGGAGGUGGGCCCUUACAAGGGAGGAACUGCACCUAGUUGGGGUGGCUCUCUGAAACAAAUAGAGCUACGUGUUUCAGACUAGGACACUGAAUUAUUUGCUGAGGAUCAGGUUGGGGAUACUCCAGCAGAAGCCCUGUGAGGAAAAAAGGAGGGCUGCUUUGUUUUUUUUUUUUUUUGGUCAGAAUACCCAGAACUAACUGUUGGCCUUUAACUAAGCAGAAAGGUUGGAGUUGGCACUACCUACAGAGCCUGAAACAGUGCCUGGAUCCUUGUUGGCCUGGGAACUAUGUUCCUCCUUUUUUGUCCUGCCAUACUCAUGCAUGCUAAGAGGCACAGAUGGAGGGACCUGGGACCAGACCACAGAACUGUCAUUGCCCAAGGAAUGAUGGAUGAGGUAAGCAAGGUGCCUGCCUUUGCCCCAAGGGGGUGACCUCGAGAUAUAACCUUUGACAGUAAACUUACACUAAUUUAUACAUCAGCACCACAUCUGGCCUCAAGAUUCUUAGAACCCACUGGAAAAUGCCUGAGUGGCAAAAUGGGGAGGCUUAUUGUAAACAAUAUUAUUAGGGGCUGGGAACACAUUUUGCAGAAAAACUAUCAUUUUGUAAAUUCAAUUGGAGGUUAAACUGUUACUUUUUUGUAAUAACUGAGGCAUUUUAAAUAGUGAAAAGGUAUAAUUUCUCUGAUUUCCCUGUAAAAUAUGCUGUUUUGAUGUCUGUGGACUAAAUCUUGAAACUCUCAUUGACUAAAAUGGAAAUGUUGCUUUCUGUUACACAUUUACAUUUAUGUUAUAUUACACAAGCUCUAAUGAACGAGACAAGAUGAGUGAGGUAAUAUAUUUUAUUUGCCCAACUUCUGUUGGUGAAAGACACAAGCUUCUGCGCUACACAAAGCUCUCCUUCAGGUAGCUCAAAAUCUUGUCUCUUUCAGCAACAGAAGAGAAGUUGGGCCAAUAAAAGAUAUUGCCUCACCCACCUUGUAUCUCAAAUAUCCUGGAUCCAACACAUUGAAAACAACAUUGAAAACAAACUCUAAUGGUAGAUUUGAUUACAAAAUGCUUCUAUAGCUCCAAUCCUGCAGACAUACAUGAUUUUAAUUUCACUAUUAACUUCAGUGUUUUCAAGACCAGAGCCUAUGCCUGACACACACUGAUGAAAAUCAUAAAAGGCAAAUUUGUAUAUUUGACUUCAGAAAAAUCUGAGGUUUUGCGUGUGAAUUCUUAUGAAGUAAAACUUUGUAGUUUAACACUAGACUAGUCAAUGGAUUACAUGGCUGUUUGCUAUCCACCAGCUUUUUCUUUCUUUUUUUCAAAAAUAGCUUUUUUUGGACUCUGUUCCCAUCUGAAUAUUUUCUUGAUGGUGGUUUUGUUGUCAAUACUGGAACGGUUGAUUACUUGAUUCUGUGAAGUUCAAGAAAUAGUUCUGCACUCUCAAUAAUAUUAUAGCACACAAGGAUCAAAAUAUUAUCACAAAUCUAACAGAGGCUAGUAAAGGUUACUGUUAAUUCCAAAACGUCUUUACUGAGUAAGCUAGUUGAAAAAAAUAGCUUCAGGAAGGAUUAAGUAUGAGACUCUGUUUGAAACUGAAACCUCCUGAAGGUACUUCAGAUAGAAAACGUGUCAAUUUGGAAACAUCCUUGUUAGUUUGGAUUAAACCAAACACAAUUAAUGUACACAAGACUGCAAGAACUAAUGUAAAGAUAAAGAGCAUAAUAUAUUGUUGAUCUCAAUGGAAGUUGUGCAUGCAGCUGCAGGAUAGAUUACCAUUUAUUAUGUGUUUUUAUGAUGGAGAUUGUCCAACAUUUGUGAAACAAAAAGGAAAUGUUGAUGCCAUCAAUAUUAAUUUUUUAUAAACUUCAGGGGGACCAGGAUUUGGCCCAUUAUUUUUAAAACACUUCUAAUAAUAUAGUGCCAUCCACGUAUAUGUGUCCUAACAUCUCGUUAUUACAGCAGCUACUCCUUAAAGAACUGUAUUUUACAACUUCUCAAUUGACAAAGGGAAUGUAGCUAAUAGGUUUUCCCAGUUUUGUUGUGUUACAUCAUCCAAGAUAAUGUAAACAUUACCAGUAUGAUUUAAGUUAAUGUGAACACCUGUAGUUGAAUAUAAUUGUAUUGGCAGAUCUUUAUUAAAUGAACUAUGCUUGUUUGAGGGGAGGAGCAAGACUAGACUAAUUCUGUAAAAUAAAGUCUAGAAGAUUCUCUAC